UGCCUAAAACAUAGUGUUAAUGCAUCAGAUCCCAUUAGAACUUUGCAGUUAAGCGUGCUCAGGCUAGAGUAGUACUAGGAUGGGUGACCACCCGGGAAGUCCUUCUAUUUUACAUGC
rfam:Picea glauca, whole genome shotgun sequence.